rnacentral:misc_RNA from 1 species
GAUGAAGAACGCAGCGAAAUGCGAUACUUGGUGUGAAUUGCAGAAUCCCGUGAACCAUCGAGUCUUUGAACGCAAGUUGCGCCCGAAGCCGUCAGGCCGAGGGCACGCCUGCCUGGGCGUCACACGCCGUUGCCCCCCCGCGCCCCGCACCCAACUCUUUGGGAGCGACCGCGGGGCGGGCUGAUGAUGGCCUCCCAUGCGCUCCGCCGCGCGGUUGGCCCAAAUACCGAGUCCCCGGCGACGUGCGCCACGACGAUCGGUGGUUGAGAGACCUCUGUCGCAAGUCGUGCGCGCCCGUCGCGUCACGCGGGCUCGCAUAGCGCCUCGCGCCGCACCCGGUGCGGAGCUUUCAACGCGACCCCAGGUCAGGCGGGGUUACCCGCUGAAUUUAAGCAUAUCAAUAAGCGGAGGA